rnacentral:rRNA from 1 species
ACUCCUACGGGAGGCAGCAGUGGGGAAUAUUGCACAAUGGGCGCAAGCCUGAUGCAGCCAUGCCGCGUGUGUGAAGAAGGCCUUCGGGUUGUAAAGCACUUUCAGUUGUGAGGAAAGGUUUAGUCCUAAUAUCGGCUAGCUGUGACGUUUAGCAACAGAAGAAGCACCGGCUAACUCCGUGCCAGCAGCCGCGGUAAUACGGAGGGUGCGAGCGUUAAUCGGAAUUACUGGGCGUAAAGCGCGUGUAGGUGGCUUGUUAAGCCAGAUGUGAAAGCCCCGGGCUCAACCUGGGG